rnacentral:hammerhead_ribozyme from 1 species
ACCCACCUGAGUCCCAAACAGGACGAAAUGCGCAUCCUGGGU